UACGUAGGGUUCGAGCGUUGUCCGGAAUUAUUGGGCGUAAAGGGCUCGUAGGCGGUUUGUCACGUCGGGAGUGAAAACUCAGGGCUCAACCCUGAGCGUGCUUCCGAUACGGGCAGACUAGAGGUAUGCAGGGGAGAACGGAAUUCCUGGUGUAGCGGUGGAAUGCGCAGAUAUCAGGAGGAACACCGGUGGCGAAGGCGGUUCUCUGGGCAUUACCUGACGCUGAGGAGCGAAAGCAUGGGGAGCGAACAGG
rnacentral:rRNA from 1 species